rnacentral:rRNA from 1 species
AGCAGCCGCGGUAAUUCCAGCUCCAAUAGCGUAUAUUAAAGUUGUUGCAGUUAAAAAGCUCGUAGUUGAAUUUCGGGGUUAGCAGGUCGGUCGUGCCAAUGGUAUGCACUGGUCUCGCUGAUUCCUCCCUCUUGAUGAGCCGUAAUGUCAUUAAUUUGGUGUUGCGAGGAAUCAGGACUGUUACUUUGAAAAAUUAGAGUGUUUAAAGCAGGCAAGCGCUUGAAUACAUUAGCAUGGAAUAAUGAAAUAGGACGUUUGAUCUUAUUUUGUUGGUUUCUAAGAUUGACGUAAUGAUUAAUAGGGAUAGUUGGGGGCAUUAGUAUUCAAUUGUCAGAGGUGAAAUUCUUGGAUUUAUUGAAGACUAACUACUGCGAAAGCAUUUGCCAAGGAUGUUUUCAUUAAUCAAGAACGAAAGUUAGGGGAUCGAAGACGAUCAGAUACCGUCGUAGU